AAUCAACGCUGGCGGCGUGCCUAACACAUGCAAGUCGAACGCGAAAGUGGAGCAAUCCAUGAGUAGAGUGGCAAACGGGUGAGUAACACGUGGGUGACCUGCCCCAGACUCUGGGAUAACAGUUGGAAACAGCUGCUAAUACCGGAUACGAGACGGAGAGGCAUCUCUACCGUCUGGAAAGUUUUUCGGUCUGGGAUGGACUCGCGGCCUAUCAGCUUGUUGGUGAGGUAAUGGCUCACCAAGGCGACGACGGGUAGCCGGCCUGAGAGGGCGACCGGCCACACUGGGACUGAGACACGGCCCAGACUCCUACGGGAGGCAGCAGUGGGGAAUAUUGCACAAUGGGCGAAAGCCUGAUGCAGCGACGCCGCGUGAGGGAUGACGGCCUUCGGGUUGUAAACCUCUUUCAGCAGGGAAGAAGCGAAAGUGACGGUACCUGCAGAAGAAGCACCGGCUAACUACGUG
rnacentral:rRNA from 1 species